CCGGCUCAGAAUCAACGUUGGCGGCGCGCUUAACACAUGCAAGUCGAACGAGAAAGUGGAGCAAUCCAUGAGUACAGUGGCGUACGGGUGAGUAACACGUGGGUAUCUACCUCUUAGUGGGGAAUAACCCUGGGGAAACCGGGGCUAAUACCGCAUAAGCCUGUGAGGGGAAAGUCGAAAGACGCUGAGAGAGGAGCCCGCGGCCGAUUAGCUAGUUGGUGGGGUAAAGGCUCACCAAGGCAAAGAUCGGUAGCCGGCCUGAGAGGGCACACGGCCACACUGGCACUGAAACACGGGCCAGACUCCUACGGGAGGCAGCAGUGGGGAAUCUUGCACAAUGGGGGAAACCCUGAUGCAGCGACGCCGCGUGAGCGAUGAAGCCCUUCGGGUCGUAAGACUCUUUCGACGGGAACGAGUAAUGACGGUACCGGAGAAGAAGCUGACGGCUAACUACGUAGCCAGCAGCCGCGGUAAUACGUAGGCAGCAAACGUUGUUCGGAAUUACUGGCGUAAGAGUGUGUAGG
rnacentral:rRNA from 1 species